rnacentral:rRNA from 1 species
CAGUAGCCGCGGGAAUACGAAGGGGGCUAGCGUUGUUCGGAAUUACUGGGCGUAAAGGGCGCGUAGGCGGCCAUUCAAGUUAGAUGUGAAAGCCCUGGGCUCAACCUAGGAAUUGCAUUUGAUACUGUUUGGCUUGAGUUCGGGAGAGGUGAGUGGAAUUCCCAGUGUAGAGGUGAAAUUCGUAGAUAUUGGGAAGAACACCAGUGGCGAAGGCGGCUCACUGGACCGACACUGACGCUCAUGCACGAAAGCGUGGGGAGCAAACAGGAUUAGAUACCCGAGUAGUCCCUGUCUCUUAUAC